rnacentral:rRNA from 1 species
UACAGAGGUCUCAAGCGUUGUUCGGAUUCAUUGGGCGUAAAGGGUGCGUAGGUGGCGGGGUAAGUCAGGUGUGAAAUUUCGGAGCUUAACUCCGAAACUGCAUUUGAUACUGCCUUGCUUGAGGACUGGAGAGGAGACUGGAAUUCACGGUGUAGCAGUGAAAUGCGUUGAUAUCAUCAGGAACACCAGUGGCGAAAGCGGCUUACUGGGUCUCUUCUGACGCUGAGGUACGAAAGCUAGGGGAGCGAAGGGG